rnacentral:snoRNA from 1 species
AAGAUCAUACUUCACAGGAUCAUUUCUGUAGUAUAUCUUCAAAACUGCUUAGCGUAAAGCUGAGACGGUGCAGCCACGAUGAGGAGAUGGAACCCUCUUCCUUGAGCGUGAGGACGACUUGCAGUCUUAAAUAUAAUUUAAGACUGAAGUCACCGAUGAUCGUUCGCUUCUCUUACUCUGUAGGAGGAGUUAUGGGAAGAUGGGUUUUCUGAGUGGU